rnacentral:rRNA from 1 species
AGCGAACGCUGGCGGCAGGCCUAACACAUGCAAGUCGAGCGCCCCGCAAGGGGAGCGGCAGACGGGAGAGUAACACGUGGGAACGUACCCUUUGGUUCGGAACAACCCAGGGGAACUUGGGCUAAUACCGGAUAAGCCCUUACGGGGAAAGAUUCAUCGCCGAAGGUUCGCCCCGAGUCUGAUUAGCUAGUUGGUGGGGUAACGGCCCACCAAGGCGACGAUCAGUAGCUGGUCUGCGAGGAUGAGCAGCCUCACUGGGACUGAGACACGGCCCAGGCUCCGACGGACGGCAGCAGUGGGUAUUAUUGGAGAAUGGGCGCAAGCCUGAUCCAGCCAUGCCGCGUGGGUGAUGAAGGGCCUAGGGUUGUAAAGCCCUUUCGGCGGGGAAGAUAAUGACGGUACCCGCAGAAGAAGCCCCGGCUAACUUCGUGCCAGCAGCCGCCGUAAGAC